UACGUAGGGGGCAAGCGUUGUCCGGAUUUAUUGGGCGUAAAGAGCGUGUAGGCGGCUAGGUAGGUCCGUUGUGAAAACUCGAGGCUCAACCUCGAGACGCCGAUGGAAACCAUCUAGCUAGAGUCCGGAAGAGGAGAGUGGAAUUCCUGGUGUAGCGGUGAAAUGCGCAGAUAUCAGGAGGAACACCAAUUGCGAAGGCAGCUCACUGGUCCGGUACUGACGCUGAGGUGCGAAAGCGUGGGGAGCAAACAGG
rnacentral:rRNA from 1 species